GAAGCAGGGAAGGAGGGCCAGGGCAGCAGCAGAAAUAAGUGAGACUCAGCGGUGCCCUGCACCUCCUGGCUAAGGAGAUUGGUUCAUCGACUCAUGAGGGCAGACCAGCGGCCAGUUGAUACCACACCCACAUGGCAUUGACACCUCCAUCGAAAACAAAGCGUGUGCACACUGAGCAUAGUGAUCAAGCAUGAAGAUCCUGGAGACUUCAUGUUGUACAGAGUUAACUCCAGUUCCCUCCCUUGCUGCUUAACCACAGGCCAAGUGACUGACAACAUAAUGGCAAAACCUGAAGCGAAAUUGCCAAGGUAUU
rnacentral:lncRNA from 1 species